rnacentral:lncRNA from 1 species
GCGACCCGAGCAGAAGAACGACCGACCGACAGAACUGGGUCUGCGUCUCCUCCGAGCAGAAGAGGAACGUCGGUCUGAAGACUGGGCGUCUGGGUCUCCUCCGAGUAGAAGAGGAACGUCGAUCUGAAGUACGAACUGGGUCUGGCGUUUGGGUCUUCUCCGAGCAGAAGAGGAACGUCAGUCUGAAGUCCGAACUGGGUCUGGCGUCUGGGUCUCCUCCGAGCAGAAGAGGAACGACUGAAAUAGACGAGAGAGAGGUCGCGUUGGUCUCCUCCGAGCGGAACAACAGAAAGAGACGAGAGAGAGGUCGCG